rnacentral:misc_RNA from 1 species
ACAAGAUGGACUCUCUCACUCCUUUAGAAGGAAUGUUGCCCAUCUGGUAAUCCAAAACUAACACAGACAUAUAAGCUAAGACACUAAACUUUCAGUUGUGAUCAUGCAACCAAAUUGCUAGCAAGAACACCUACAACACUAUCCUAUGGCACAGCAUCAACCAACUGUCGAGUAUUAAAGUAAGCUUAUGAAAGGAGAAUUCAAGAGGCUAUCCAAAACAAAUCUCUUAAGAGAACUAAAGCUUCAUUCUUUGUUACAAAGCUAUGAAUUCACAGUUGUUCGCAUGCAGAAACAAUUCAUCUACAUGCUUGGUUGACUACAUGAAAAAUGCAUCAUUGUCCCUAUAAAAUUUAUUAUCCUACAUUGAAUAUCUGAUUUAGCAAUAUAUAGUUAACCACAUCAAUUACGAAAAAAGUUUUCCAAUCUCACUAAGCAUGCAAGUGAGCCGAACAAGCACUUGUUUUCACAUAGAAUAUCAAAAAGCAUCAUCAUAUCCUCUGACUAAUAAUUGAAUAAUCAAACUUACACAAAUUAGCAGCAUAAUUUCACUGUCAAUGCAGUCCUCAUAAGAAAACAUUUAGAAGUUAAAAAUAAA